ensembl:lncRNA
UAAUCUUCUUAUUAUUAUUUAUUUAUUUAUUUUUACAAACACCUGUGUAAACACAUUCAUCAAAGACUUUUGUCACGCUGAGUCUGGAAUGUUCUGCUCCACUUCCAGUAAAGUGAAGUCGACUUAUUUCUGGAAUGUCACAGAACUCACUCCUGUGCUGUACAGUAGUCUCGUUUAGACCCAUUCCCUGGAUCGGUUGUUGUUUUGGACGUUAACCAGCCUCAGCCUGUUAACCCCGCCCACAUUACAUCUCUAAUUCAGUUCGAUUUCCUGGUCUGCAUUUUGCCGUUAGUGCGGCUGAUUUAAUCUGGUGGUCCUUUUAAGAUUUUAGCGUUCAUGAUGAUGUCGGAGGCCACAUGACAAUGCCAACAUGGCGGAUGUAGAAUGUCUGGGAUUUUAUUCAUACCACACACACAUACACACAUACUUGGUACGUACAUCUUUAAGAAGGUGUGUAAUGAGACUGACAAACAAAAAGGCGCAGGAGUGCAUGGUCACGUUUAUUAACCCGAAUACUGGGUAUUCACGUGGCAGGAACAUAAACUGUGGGUGUGAAAAGUACCAUUUGACGCUUCGAAGAAUCAUAUAGGGUUAGGGUAGGGGUUAGGGUUAAGGUUAGGGGUUAAGGUUAGGGUUAGGGGUUAGGGUUAAGGUUAGGGUUAGGGUUAAGGUUAGGGUUAGGGUUGGGGUUAAGGUUAGGGUUAGGGUUGGGGUUAAGGUUAGGGUUAGGGUUGGGGUUAAGGUUAGGGUUAGGGUUGGGGUUAGG